GGAGACAGUGCAUCAACAAUGUUUGCUCAUGUAUAUCAGUAUCAUCAGCACCGCCUGCAAACAAGGACGGUCUAAGGUUUCUGUUUGGAAGAAGUCUGAGACAGUCUCAACAUCUGAGGACAAACUCUCUGCUGCAUGUAACCAGCAUGACAUUGAAAGGUUAAGAGUCGGAGCUCUGGAGCAGCAUGCAGGAUAAAGGACGACUUCCACCGUCUCAGUAUCAUGAGGCUUUACUCCUCUCUCUCCAGGAACCAAAUCUAAAGACGAACACUUCACCUUUCAGAUCGAACCAGACCUGCACCGCAUGAGGAACAUCUUCAACUAACACUGACUGUUUACAGAUGAUGACAUGUUGUGUUUGCAGAAUAUCUCCAGAUUAAAGUUCCUCGUUUCUCAGAGGUUA